AUCAGCGGGAAACGAAGACCCUGAGCUUAACUAUAGUCCGACUUUUUAAAUGACUUGAGAGGUUUAGUAUAAGUGAGAUUCGGAAGGUGAAAGUGAAAUACCAGUGAUUUUAACAUUAUUUUACUUAUUCACUAAUUUAAAAGCGGUGCACUGCACUUCUUAUUGGAUCCAACCCUUGCUUUGUGGGUCGAUCUGGGAGGAAGACAUUGUUAUGUGGGUAGUUUGGAUGUGGUGUCACAUCUAUCAAAAGAUAACGCGCAUGUAUUAAGAUGAAAUAAAAAAUCUCGUGUUCAACAGAAGGGUAAAAGCUCGAUUGAUUCUGAUUUCCAGUAUGAAUACAAACUGUGAAAGUGUACCCUAACGAUCCUUCCGACCUUCAAAAUUUAAAGCUAGAGAUGUUAGAAAAGUUAUACAGGGAUAACUGGCUUGUGGCAACCGAAGGUUCAUAACGACGUUUCUUUUUUAUCCUUCGAUGUCGACUCUUCCUAUCAUUCUGAAGAAGAAUCACCAAGUUGUGGAUUGUUCACCCAUCAAUAGGGAAUGUGAGUUGGGUUUAGACCAUUGUGAGACAAGUUAGUUUUACCCUACUGAU
rnacentral:ncRNA from 1 species